rnacentral:rRNA from 1 species
CCUACGGGGGGCAGCAGUGAGGAAUAUUGGUCAAUGGACGAGAGUCUGAACCAGCCAAGUAGCGUGAAGGAUGAAUGCCCUAUGGGUUGUAAACUUCUUUUAUAAAGGAAUAAAACGAGGCACGUGUGCCUUUUUGCAUGUACUUUAUGAAUAAGGAUCGGCUAACUCCGUGCCAGCAGCCGCGGUAAUACGGAGGAUCCGAGCGUUAUCCGGAUUUAUUGGGUUUAAAGGGAGCGUAGAUGGGUUGUUAAGUCAGUUGUGAAAGUGUGCGGCUCAACCGUAAAACUGCAAUUGAUACUGGCAGUCUUGAGUACAGUUGAGGUAGGCGGAAUUCGUGGUGUAGCGGUGAAAUGCGUAGAUAUCAGGAAGAACCCCGAUGGCGAAGGCAGCUUACUAAACUGUGACUGACACUGAGGCUCGAAAGUGUGGGGAGCAAACAGGAUUAGAUACCCUUGUAGUC